UGGGCGGAAGCCUGAUCCAGCCAUGCCGCGUGAAGGAAUAAGGUCCUAUGGGUCGUAAACUUCUUUUGACGCAGAGCAAUAAGGAACACGUGUGUUCCGAUGAGAGUAUGCGUCGAAUAAGCAUCGGCUAACUCCGUGCCAGCAGCCGCGGUAAUACGGAGGAUGCGAGCGUUAUCCGGAUUUAUUGGGUUUAAAGGGUGCGUAGGCUGUUGGAUAAGUCAGCGGUGAAAUCACCACGCUUAACGUGUUGUGUGCCGUUGAAACUGUCCAGCUUGAAUGCGCUCGUCGUGAGAGGAAUGUGUGGUGUAGCGGUGAAAUGCAUAGAUAUCACACAGAACACCGAUUGCGAAGGCAUCUCACGAGAGCGUUAUUGACGCUGAUGCACGAAAGCGCGGGUAUCGAACAGGAUUAGAUACCCUGGUAGUCCGCGCUGUAAACGAUGAUGACUAACCGUUGGUCUGGUAUGGAUCAGUGGUCAAGCGAAAGCGUUAAGUCAUCCACCUGGGGGAGUACGGCCGCAAGGCUGAAACUCAAAGGAAUUGACGGGGGCCCGCACAA
rnacentral:rRNA from 1 species